AUAUCAAUAAGGCGAGGAACAGAAACCAACCGGGAUUCCCCCAGUAGUGGCGAAUGAAGUGGGAAAAGCUCAAGUUUGAAAUCUGGCUUCAGUCAGAGUUGUAAGCUGAAGAGGCUUCGACCGAUGUGGCUUGGGCUCAAUUCCCUUGGGAUAGGGAGUCAUGGAGGGUGAGAACCCCGUCUUCACUCGAGCUCCUUCGCCAAUGUGAUGCGCUUUCGACGAGUCGGGUUGUUUGGGAAUGCAGCCCAAAACGGGUGGCAAAUCUCAUCUAAGGCUAAAUAUCGGUGGGAGACCGAUAGCGCACAAGUA
rnacentral:rRNA from 1 species